UACGGAGGGUGCGAGCGUUGUCCGGAAUCACUGGGCGUAAAGGGCGCGUAGGCGGCCUGAUAAGUAGGGGGUGAAAUCCUGCGGCUUAACCGCAGGGCUGCCUUCUAAACUGUCAGGCUAGAGCACAGUAGAGGCAGGUGGAAUUCCCGGUGUAGCGGUGGAAUGCGUAGAUAUCGUAAGGAAGACCAGUGGCGAAGGCGGGUCUCUGGACAGUUCCUGACGCUGAGGCACGAAGGUCAGGGGAGCAAACGGG
rnacentral:rRNA from 1 species